rnacentral:rRNA from 1 species
GAUGAACGCUAGCUACAGGCUUAACACAUGCAAGUCGAGGGACCGGCGCACGGGUGAGUAACACGUAUCCAACCUGCCCUUUACUCGGGGAUAGCCUUUCGCAAGAACGAUUAAUACCCGAUAUAAAGGAUGGGGAUGCGUUCAAUUAGGAUGUUGGUUAGGUAACGGCCCACCAAGCCUUCGAUGGAUAGGGUUUCUGAGAGGAAGGUCCCCGACAGUGGAACUGAGACACGGUCCAAACGCCUACGGGAGGCAGCAGUGAGGAAUAUUGGGAAAUGGGCGUGAGCCUGAACCAGCCAAGUAGCGUGAAGGAUGAAGGCUUAUGGGUCGUAAACGUCUUUUAUAUAAGAAUAUGUAUUAUAUGAAUAAGGAUCGGCUAACUCCGUGCCAGCAGCGCGGUAAUAC